UCGGGUUGUAAAGCACUUUUGUCCGGAAAGAAAACUUCCUGGUUAAUACCUGGGGAGGAUGACGGUACCGGAAGAAUAAGCACCGGCUAACUACGUGCCAGCAGCCGCGGUAAUACGUAGGGGUGCAAGCGUUAAAUCGGAAAUUACUGGGCGUAAAAGCGUGCGCAGGGCGGUCUGUUAAGACCGAUGUGAAAUCCCCGGGCUUAACCUGGGAACUGCAUUGGUGACUGGCAGGCUUUGAGUGUGGCAGAGGGAGGUAGAAUUCCACGUGUAGCAGUGAAAUGCGUAGAGAUGUGGAGGAAUACCGAUGGCGAAGGCAGCCUCCUGGGCCAACACUGACGCUCAUGCACGAAAGCGUGGGGAGCAAACAGGAUUAGAUACCCUGGUAGUCCACGCCCUAAACGAUGUCAACUAGUUGUUGGGGAUUCAUUUCCUUAGUAACGUAGCUAACGCGUGAAGUUGACCGCCUGGGGAGUACGGUCGCAAGAUUAAAACUCAAAGGAAUUGACGGGGACCCGCACAAGCGGUGGAUGAUGUGGAUUAAUUCGAUGCAACGCGAAAAACCUUACCUACCCUUGACAUGGUCGGAAUCCUGCUG
rnacentral:rRNA from 1 species